GCAACGCGAAGAACCUUACCUGGGCUCGAACGGCUGAUCAACGGAGGUGGAAACAUCUUUACCCCGCAAGGGGGUUCAGUCGAGGUGCUGCAUGGCUGUCGUCAGCUCGUGUCGUGAGAUGUUGGGUUAAGUCCCGCAACGAGCGCAACCCUUGUCCUGUGUUGCCAUGUCGAAAGACGGAACUCGCAGGAGACCGCCAGGGAUAACCUGGAGGAAGGUGGGGAUGACGUCAAGUCCUCAUGGCCUUUAUGUCCAGGGCUACACACGUGCUACAAUGGACGGUACAAAGCGCAGCAAACCCGCGAGGGGGAGCCAAUCGCAAAAAACCGUUCUCAGUUCGGAUUGCAGGCUGCAACUCGCCUGCAUGAAGCUGGAAUCGCUAGUAAUGGCAGAUCAGCACGCUGCCGUGAAUACGUUCCCGGGCCUUGUACACACCGCCCGUCACAUCACGAAAGUGGGUUGUACUAGAAGUCUGCGCGCUGACCCGCAAGGGAGGCAGCGGCCCAAGGUAUGACUCAUGAUUGGGGUGAAGUCGUAACAAGGUA
rnacentral:rRNA from 1 species